CGACUGUUUACUAAAAACACAGGACUCUGCGAACUCGUAAGAGGAUGUAUAGAGUCUGACUCCUGCUCGGUGCCGGUAAGUUAAGGAAGAGGGUUAGCCUUUGGGCGAAGCUCGCAACCGAAGCUCCGGUAAACGGCGGCCGUAACUA
rnacentral:rRNA from 1 species